rnacentral:rRNA from 1 species
GUCGGACGGGAAUUACUUUAUUGAAACUUCGGUCGAUUUAAUUUAAUUCUAGUGGCGGACGGGUGAGUAACGCGUGGGUAACCUGCCUUGUACAGGGGGAUAACAGUCAGAAAUGGCUGCUAAUACCGCAUAAGCGCACAGAGCUGCAUGGCUCCGUGUGAAAAACUCCGGUGGUAUAAGAUGGACCCGCGUUGGAUUAGCUUGUUGGCAGGGUAACGGCCUACCAAGGCGACGAUCCAUAGCCGGCCUGAGAGGGUGAACGGCCACAUUGGGACUGAGACACGGCCCAGACUCCUACGGGAGGCAGCAGUGGGGAAUAUUGCACAAUGGGGGAAACCCUGAUGCAGCGACGCCGCGUGAAGGAAGAAGUAUCUCGGUAUGUAAACUUCUAUCAGCAGGGAAGAGAUUGACGGUACCUGACUAAGAAGCCCCGGCUAACUACGUGCCAGCAGCCGCGGUAAUACGUAGGGGGCAAGCGUUAUCCGGAUUUACUGGGUGUAAAGGGGACCGUAGACGGAUGGACAAUUCUGAUGUGAAAAGGCUGGGGGCUCAACCCCCGGGA